GUUUCUGCCCUUAUCCAGAGUAAAAUGGGUCACAACUUUGUCUAAAGGAACACUUCUGCAGCUGUAGUCAAAGGUGUACACAUUGAGUAUUCCACAGAUAUACAUGGUUUAAUAUGUGGUAUCCAUGGGGUAUGAUUCUACCACAGCCUUGUAAGUGCUCCAAACCUUAAAGUACCCACAAUUACUACACCUGUGACUGGAACCAAUGAUCCCUUUUAUUCCCCGCCAGGACAAACCAGUAUGUAGGCAGUUUUCUUUGCUUAGACAUGGAAGCAGUUUUACACUGGCCCUUUUGAAGCCACAAUGUACCAAAAGUACUAUGCCAAACACUUAUAACUUGUAUAAAAAUUCCACAUCCCC
rnacentral:lncRNA from 1 species